CAGUUAUAGUUUACUUGAUAAUCUUUUACUUACAUGGAUAACCGUGGUAACUUCUAGAGCUAAUACAUGCGAAAAAACUCGACUUUAUGGAAGGGUUGUAUUUAUUAGAUAAAGAACCAAUAUAAUUGGUGACUCAUAAUAACUUUACGGAUCACAAUUAAUGUGACAUAUCAUUCAAGUUUCUGACCUAUCAGCUUUAGACGGUAGGGUAUUG
rnacentral:rRNA from 1 species